GCAACCUUUCUUUUUGGUUUGUGUUUUGUUGAUUUUUAAGAUCAUGUUUCCAGGGCUGGGAGACAGCAAGGAAAGCUUUGCCACGCGAACAGUAAGAGCUAAGCUGAGAUCCCCAGAACCCAGAUAAACAGCCCAUCACGCUUAGUAUGGAAAAAGGUCCACCAAACUCAGUCUCAUGGGAAGUUUUAGUUACUUGGCAAUCAAGAAACACCAAGGAAACGGGCAAGUGAAACCAGGAGUGGUUCAUCAUUCAACCUUCAAAAAACCAUGGGGAGGGGAUCGGUGUGCUGGGGGCACACUGAAAAGUAACGACAGAGAUGGAAUUCCCCCCACCACCCUGCACAGAAGCCUUUUGCCACCCUGUGCACAACACAGUGUUGAGGAACGGGAGCCAAGGAAACACCUGCAAUCCAGGCCGAGCUCUGCAAUGUAACAGUUAGGUGGAUCGGAAACCCUUGGAGCUGAACACACAUAAUUAUGAGAUCUGCUGAGCCAAGAAGGCACGAACCUAAUUUUCCUCUCUUCUGGGAAAUCUCAGGAGACUCCUCGCUGGCAGAGGCCUCUUCCUCCUCCUGCUCCUCUGGCUCUCUCUACCCACACCUGUAUCUGACACCCAGCACUGUCGGCUGUCAUUCUACAGGGACAUCCGCUCCCGCAUGCCCCCACGACUCACCGCUUUGUCUACAGCCUGACAGUCUUAGAAUUUUCCUAAGCAUGUUCCAGCACUACAAUAAAAUUAUAAAUAUA